CCCAGAGGAGCUUUUAAAAGCCUAAUAGGAGGUUUCCAGACAGUUCUAAUGGGCUGUGGCUGACCUUACAGAGCCGAAACAUCUGUUAAGUCUCUGUCUGUACCACACAGACAUCUAACUUGGGCAGAAGCUCUGGAGAGCUGCCUCCUGAAUCAACACCUGAACCAAGCGACUGUGGCCUUCUCAAUGAAGGUGAUGUUCACAGACUGUUUCUAACUAUAUCAGCAUUUUUUGGAGGCAGUGAGCACCCAGACCUGAGCUGCAAUCCUGUCGUGCUUCAUUCUUACUUCCUGCAUUCAUUGUUCUCACUGAUCUCCAUGAGAACCUGACAGCCAAGACUAUACGACCACACUCUAAGAAUCAACGGGGACUCUGGCUUUUGAUGUCCCAUGAGCUCCACGGAAGACCAACAGACCCAACUAAACAGGCCCCAGAGGAGCUUGCUGAAGCUGAAGCAUCAACCAGGGACCAUGCAGGAACUGGACCUAGACCCCUACAAAAUGUAGCCCAUGGGAUCCUCAAGUAAGGGAAGUAGGGACUGCAUCUGACAAGGACUUUCCUGCCAGCUUUUUGAUCACUUCUUCCUGAUGGGACUGCCUUGCCAGGGCACAGGAGAAGAGGAGACACUCAGUCCUGAUGUGACUUGAUGAGCUGGGGUGGUGGAUGGGAAGGGGGGUUCCCCUU